UUUCCGUAGGUGAACCUGCGGAAGGAUCAUUAUUGUAUAACCGAGGUGCGAGGGCUGUCGCUGAACCGAAAGGUCGUGCACGCCCGAGUGCUCUCACACACAUCCAUCUCACCCCUAUGUGCACCACCGCGUGGGUCCCCCUUUGGCUUGUUCGGAGGGGGGCUUACGUUUUCACACAAACUUUGUAUGCAGUGUAGAAUGUAUUUUUUGUUUUUGCGAUCACGCAAUCAAUACAACUUUCAACAACGGAUCUCUUGGCUCUC
rnacentral:misc_RNA from 1 species